rnacentral:rRNA from 1 species
GAUGAACGCUGGCGGCGUGCCUAAUACAUGCAAGUCGAACGCAGUGGGGACGGGUGAGUAACACGUGGGUAACCUCCCAUCAGAGGGGAUAAAACUUGGCAACAGGUGCUAAACCGAUACUGAUGGAUGAACCCGGGGUGCAUUAGCUAGUUGGUGAGGUAACGGCUCACCAAGGCCACGAUGCAUAGCCGACCUGAGAGGGUGAUCAGCCACACUGGGACUGAGACACGGCCCAGACUCCUACGGGAGGCAGCAGUAGGGAAUCUUCGACAAUGGACGAAAGUCUGACCCAGUAACGCCGCGUGAAUGAAGAAGGUCUUCGGGUCGUAAAACUCUGUUGGUAGAGAAGCGGUAUCUAACCAGAAAGCCCCGGCUAACUACGUGCCAGCAGCCGCGGUAAUAC